GACGAACGCUGGCGGCGUGCCUAAUACAUGCAAGUAGAACGCUGAAGGAGGAGCUUGCUUCUCUGGAUGAGUUGCGAACGGGUGAGUAACGCGUAGGUAACCUGCCUGGUAGCGGGGGAUAACUAUUGGAAACGCUAGCUAAUACCGCAUAAGAGUAGAUGUUGCAUGACAUUUUCUUAAAAGGUGCAAUUGCAUCACUACCAGAUGGACCUGCGUUGUAUUAGCUAGUUGGUGGGGUAAAGGCUCACCAAGGCGACGAUUCAUAGCCGGCCUGAGAGGGGGGUCGGCCACCCUGGGACUGGGACACGGCCCAAACCCCUACGGGGGGCAGCCGUAGGGGAUCUUCGGCCAAGGAGGGAAGUCUGACCGGGCAACGCCGCGGGAGUGAAGAAGGUUUUCGGAUCUGUAAGCUCUGUUGUAAGAGAAGAACGGGUGUGUGAGUGGAAAGUUCAUACUGUGACGGUAUCUUACGAGAAAGGGACGGCUAACUACGUG
rnacentral:rRNA from 1 species